GGGAAUUUUCCAGAUCUCAUCUUGAAUUGACUUUUUUUUAACGGUUGUUUUAACGUUAUGCGAACUGGAAUUUCUCCAGGUAAACCAACGUUGUGUCAGAUAAAGAAUUUUUCUUCUAGAAUUAUGCUUAUCCACAUCCCACUAUGAGUUCGCGCCUCCAAUUGAUCAAUGAAAAUGUUUAGUUCAAUUCCAGCCAAUCAAAGCUGCUAACUAUUCAGUGAUGUAGUAGUAUUCUUGACAUGCCGUCCAGCAAUCAUUAAUAGGGCCUUUUGCACUGCAAUUUUAGCGUCUACGGGUCCUUGAAAAUACCAUAGUAUCCCCGCUGACUACAUAGUACUUUGUACUACAGUACAAGUACAUCGUAGUAUUCCAAUUUGGCCCGUGAGUACGGAGUACAAAUAAAAAAGACAGGGGCACGAAGUAUACUUAGAUACUACCAGUGCCAACGAGGCAUGAAUAAAAUAUACAGGGGUACGAAGUGUAAAUAGUUAGUGGUUUGAGAGAAUCCAGUUAACCUACUUCUACUACCUGAGCGUCUGUGAGGGAUUGGCUAGUUAACUUAUGUAGUUUUCCCACUCAGAUUCGAUCUGUAAGCCGACAAGGCCAACCCCAAAAGGAAUAAGCGCUAUAAGUCGACGAAGUUGUGUUGUUGCUCCUGUUAUACCUAGGCAGCUGUUUGAUACAAUCGUCGGUUGCUCUAGAUCGCUUACCGCUCAGCUUAGUGAGAUUGCACUGCACUUGUGGUGUCUAUGAUGCAUUUAAAUACCUGACUAUAUACAUGCAUACAUAUGCUGAUUAUGAUCUCCAGGAUCUCGGAACUGACAAGGCCGCAUCUAAUAGGCACCAUGUUCCUAAUAUCUAAUAUGUAUGCCUCCAAGCUGAGAUCAUCGGGGGAUGUACUUUCCAGUUUCCUCAUGCGUCCCAUGCACUGCAAUUUUAGCAUCUACAAGGAAUUAAAAAUACGCCACUUCCGUACGUACUCGGAUUCGAUUAGCGAGCACUACCGGUAGUCAAAUAUAGGAUCUCCCGAGCUGAUGAGGCUGAAUCUAAAUAAGCGCUGAGUCCAGCUGGGUAUGCUUCUAAGCUCGGACAAGUCCGUCGGCUGUGGUUACUGUGCACUGCAAUUUUAGUCUCUACGAAAUCUUGAGAACUUGAGCAAAGCCGUAUCCACAAUGAGCCGACAGACAUUUUGCCCUUCAGCCUAGUGAUUCAUUUUUCUAUUGCUACGUGGUGGACGUUACGGAGUUUGCCUCCAACCUGCACUGCUGUUUUAGUGUCUACGAGGCAUUGAAAUACGCCACUACCGUAAGACUACCUAGUCCUUGUCCGAGUAUUUGAUAGAUUUUUGGAAUUUAAUGUUAUUAGCCUCGCCGCAACUGCAGUUUUGGUCUCCAUGAGAAGUUAACACCAAGCAAGGCUGCACUCGGUGGUUAGAAAGUUAUAUAUUCAAGUUGGCAAAUCGCUGCAAGCAGUAAAUUGCAUUGUUAGUAUCUACGAGAGGUUGAAAUCCAGGACCAUCUCCUAUUAGUGGAAGCCGCCGGCUGGACAAGGCUUUUCACAAUUAUGUAGUAUACAGGAUCGAAUCGCUGCACUGCACUUUUAGUGUCUACAAGAAAGUU
rnacentral:lncRNA from 1 species